rfam:Arabidopsis lyrata subsp. lyrata unplaced genomic scaffold ARALYscaffold_1, whole genome shotgun sequence.
AUAUUCUCAAGAGUUCCUCCGAACACUUCAUUGAAAAAAGGUUCUCCAUUUUCGUAAUUUUUUUUUACUGAAGUGUUUGGAGGAACUCCAGAUGAUAU